UGGCUCAGGAUGAACGCUAGCGGCAGGCUUAAUACAUGCAAGUCGUGGGGCAGCGCGGGUAGCAAUACCUGGCGGCGACCGGCAAACGGGUGAGGAACAUGUACGCAACCUUCCUUUAACUGGAGGAUAGCCCCUCGAAAGAGGGAUUAAUACUCCGUAAUAUAAUGAAGUGGCAUCACUUUAUUAUUAUAGCUCCGGCGGUUAAAGAUGGGCGUGCACCUGAUUAGAUAGUUGGCGGGGUAACGGCCCACCAAGUCUGCGAUCAGUAACUGGUGUGAGAGCACGACCAGUCACACGGGCACUGAGACACGGGCCCGACUCCUACGGGAGGCAGCAGUAAGGAAUAUUGGUCAAUGGACGCAAGUCUGAACCAGCCAUGCCGCGUGGAGGAUUAAGGCCCUCUGGGUUGUAAACUCCUUUUAUCUGGGAAGAAAUGUUUCGAUUCUUCGAAGCUUGACGGUACCAGAGGAAUAAGCACCGGCUA
rnacentral:rRNA from 1 species